rnacentral:rRNA from 1 species
AUACGAAGGUCCCAAGCGUUGUUCGGAUUUGCCGGGCGUAAAGCGUGCGUAGGCGGCAAGGUAAGUCAGAUGUGAAAUCCCGGGGCUCAACCCCGGAACUGCAUCCGAUACUGCCUUGCUAGAGUAAUGGAGGGGCAUCUGGAAUUCAUGGUGUAGCAGUGAAAUGCGUAGAUAUCAUGAGGAACACUAGUGGCGAAGGCGAGAUGCUGGACAUUUACUGGCGCUGAGGUACGAAGGCCAGGGUAGCGAAAAGGAUUAGAAACCCGAGUAGUCC